rnacentral:rRNA from 1 species
AGCGAACGCUGGCGGCAGGCCUAACACAUGCAAGUCGAACGAACUCUUCGGAGUUAGUGGCGGACGGGUGAGUAACACGUGGGAACGUGCCUUUAGGUUCGGAAUAACUCAGGGAAACUUGUGCUAAUACCGAAUGUGCCCUUCGGGGGAAAGAUUUAUCGCCUUUAGAGCGGCCCGCGUCUGAUUAGCUAGUUGGUGAGGUAAAGGCUCACCAAGGCGACGAUCAGUAGCUGGUCUGAGAGGAUGAUCAGCCACAUUGGGACUGAGAAACGGCCCAAACUCCUACGGGAGGCAGCAGUGGGUAAUCUUGCGCAAUGGGCGAAAGCCUGACGCAGCCAUGCCGCGUGAAUGAUGAAGGUCUUAGGAUUGUAAAAUUCUUUCACCGGGGACGAUAAUGACGGUACCCGGAGAAGAAGCCCCGGCUAACUUCGUGCCAGCCGCCGCCGUAA